AAAUGCAAAGCGUUUCAUCAUCGGAAUCGAUCUCGGCACCACCUACUCUUGCGUCGGAGUCUGGCACCACGACAGUGUCCAAAUAAUCACAAACGACCACGGCAACCGGACCACCCCUUCUUACGUCGCUUUCACGGACUCCGAACGCUUAAUUGGUGAUGCUGCCAAGAGCCAGGUCAUCAGGAACCCCAUCAACACUGUCUUCGGUAUACCAUUUAUUCAACUUUACUUUACCUUCAGAUUUUGGCUGUUCUUUGUUUGAAUCUAUGCAGUAGCUGUGUGUUGGAGACAUUUGCUCUCUGUUGAUUUCGAUACUUAUUGCUUAAUUAAUUGAAUUGAUUUGUGCUUAAUUAUAGAUGCCAAGCGGUUGAUUGGAAGGAGAUUCUCUGAUGCGUCCGUUCAGAGUGACACGAAGCUAUGGCCAUUCAAGGUUAUUGCUGGUCCGGGCGACAAGCCCAUCAUUGUUGUUAGCUACAAGAAUGAGGAGAAGCAACUCACUGCUGAGGAGAUUUCCUCCAUGGUCCUCAUCAAGAUGCGCGAGAUCGCCGAGGCUUAUCUUGGUUCCACCGUGAAGGACGUUGUUGUCACUGUUCCAGCAUACUUCAAUGACUCUCAGCGCCAGGCCACCAAGGAUGCUGGUGUCAUCGCUGGCCUUAAUGUCAUGCGUAUCAUCAAUGAACCCACUGCUGCUGCCCUUGCCUAUGGCCUUGAUGAUAUGGAGGCCGUCGUUGAUGGUGAGAAGAACGUUUUGAUUUUUGACCUUGGUGGUGGUACUUUUGAUGUCUCUCUUCUAUCCAUUGUAGACAGUGUCUUUGAAGUUCUUGCCACUGCAGGAGACAGCCAUCUUGGAGGUGAAGACUUCGAUAACAGGAUGGUUAAGAAUUUUGUUGAGGAGUUCAAGAGGAAGCACGAGAAGGAAAUUAGUGGGAACCCGAGGGCUUUAAGAAAGUUGAGGACCGCAUGUGAAAGGGCAAAGAGGAUACUCUCAUCCACUGUACAGACCACCAUUGAGAUUGACUCAUUGUAUGAAGGUAUUGACUUCUAUACCACAAUCACUCGUGAAAGGUUUGAAGAACUCAACAUGGACCUCUUCAGCAACUGCAUGGACACUGUUGAGCGGUGUUUGAGGGAUGCUAUAAUGGACAAGAGCAGUGUCCAUGAUAUUGUUCUUGUUGGUGGGUCUACGAGGAUCCCAAAAGUGCAACAGUUGUUGCAAGAUUUCUUCAAUGGGAAGGAGCUCUGCAAGAGCAUCAACCCAGAUGAGGCAGUUGCUUAUGGAGCUGCUCUUCAGGCUGCUAUCUUGAACCGUGAGAAGAACAAGAAGGUUAAGGAGCUUACGUUGGUGGAUGUCACUGCCCUUUCACUUGGUGUGGAAACUGUUGGUGGUGUCAUGACUGUCUUGAUUCCAAAGAACCGUCCAAUCCCGUACAAGAAGGAGCAGGUUUUCUCAACCUACUCCGACAACCAGCUUAGUGUGUUGAUCAGGGUGUACGAGGGUGAGAGAACCAGUACCAGGGACAAUAACUUGCUAGGUAAAUUCGAGCUUUCUGGCAUCCUUCCUGCUCCAAGGGGUGUUCCUCAGAUCAAUGUUUGCUUUCAAAUUGAUCACAAUAGUAUCAUGAAUGUCUCUGCCGAAGACCAGACUACUGGGAAGAAAAACAAUAUCACUAUUACAAAUGGCGAGGGCAGACUCUCAAAGGAGGAGAUUGAGAUGAUGGUGCAGGAGGCGGAGAAGUACAAGGCUGAGGAUGAGGAGCACAAGAAGAACGUAAAGGCCAAGAUUGUCUCGGAAGAAGCGGUGGAGAGGUACCGUUUUACAAAAGAUGCUCCAGAUCAACACUUGGAGGCACAAGUAGAACAUGAUACUCGCCAUGAUCAGAUUGCGUUACCAUCCCUAAGUCCCAGUUUACAGUCUUUCCCAUCCAGAAACUUUGGGUAUUAUUUCAACUCUACAAAAGUGGCUUCGCAAAAAAUUAUAAAGGGACUAAAAGAUGAUAAUUGCUAUGUUAUUGGAUUGUAUGGAAAGAGAGGCAGUGGUAAAACAGCAUUGGUGAAAGCUGAGAUGGAAGAGUAUGAAAAGAUUUUCCGUAGAGUGAUAUUUCUCUCCGUGUCUGAGAAUCAAGAUAUCAAGAGCAUUCGAGUGGGAAUUUCUAGCUCCUUGAAUGUGUUUGAUAAAGAUGACAGUGAUGGUGCGAGAAUAAUGAAAAUAAUUUUGGCAUUAGAAAGGAAGGAUAGAUCUACCCUAGUCAUCUUGGAUAAUUUUCCGUCAAAGUCUAAACUGGAAGAAAUGGGAAUUCCUUAUAAUAGCAAACAGUACAAGUUCCUUUUGACCGCACGUGAUGAGACAGAGUGCAUCUCAAUGGGAUGUGAUCAUUUGGUUCUUCUAAAGCCCUUAUCCGAUGAAGAAGCUUUUACCCUGCUACAUAAACUGUCCGGUGUUGAAUCCCAAAGUGAUCUAUUUAAAGUGGUACGAGAUGUUGCUUUUAAAUGCAAUGGCUUACCUGGUUUAAUUAAAGAUGNNNNNNNNNNNNNNNNNNNNNNNNNNNNNNNNNNNNNNNNNNNNNNNNNNNNNNNNNNNNNNNNNNNNNNNNNNNNNNNNNNNCUCAACGGCACGCUACCAAAUUUUUAUCAGUUUUAGAGGAAAGGACACUCGGGAGAUUUUCACAAAUCAUCUCUAUGAGGCUUUGUGUAAAGAGGGAUUCGAGACCUUCAUAGAUGAUGAAGCAUUGGAGGGUGGAUCCCCAAUUGAUAAGCUUCUUGAAGCCAUUGAAGAAUCAAGGUUUGCAAUUGUUGUUUUGUCAGAAAAUUUUGCAGACUCUAAAUGGUGUCUUAAAGAACUUGUCAAGAUUCUUGAUUGUCGUAAAAGGAAGAAACAAUUGGUUUGCCAAUUUUUUAUGAAGUGGAACCAACCGACAUAAGGCAUCUAAAAGGGAGGUAUGGUGAAGCUAUGGCCGAACAUGAAAAAAAGUUAGCCAAAGAUUCUAAGAUGGCAUUGGAAUGGACAUUAGCUUUGAGUGAGAUUUCCCAAUUGAAUGGAGAACAUUUCCACAUUUCCAACUUCAAAGGAGAGCAUUACGAAAGGUACGUAAUAAAAUAUCUGAGAUCAAGGUACAAGGUUUUUCAGUUUACCUUUUGUAUAGUGUUGGCUUUUAAAAAAAUAAGUAAUCUAUAUCUAAAACAUAAAUGAUAAGGUGUUGUAUAUACUUUUUUACAGGUACAGAGAUCAACUUAUUGGAAAGAUCAUAAGAUUUGCCCAUAAUAAUAAACAUCGCUUGCAUAUACAAAGCAUGUAUAUGAACUAGAUGAAAGACUUUAGCUUCUCUUACUGUGAGUGCAGCAUAAGACUUUAGCUUCUCUUACUGUGACUAGUUUAGCUGAUCCUUCUGUCAAUACUCGUAUUAUAUUUGGAGCUGUUGUUGAUGACCGUUACACCGGAGAAAUUGAAGUGACUAUCAUUUCCACUGGCUUUUCGCAGUCUUUUCAGAAGAAGCUACAAACAGAUCCAAGGGCUGCAAAACUUCUUGACAAAGUGGCCGAGAGAAAAGAAAGUAAGACAGUGCCCUCUCCCCUCAAGUCCUCAAAGUCAAACUUCCAAAGUUCAAUCUAGAGCAACAACACCCUUACGAAAGCUCUUUUUUAGUUGCAUAGUUCGAUUUUUUUUCUUCUUGUUAGUUAUCAUUUUAUCGUAGUCACUCAGUUGUUUGUUGGUCUUGAAGCUUAUUUGAUUUGUUGAGAUGUCAUUACUCAUAUGGUUUAUGUAACCAUGCAGUUAAGUGUAUGUAGCUAACAAACAAUUUUUGUUUAUGAAAUGAAUAUAUUCAUUUAUUUAUUUGACUAAAAACAAAGUGAAUAUAUUUAUCCUUUAAAUCAUUUAAUGACUUUAUACGAUAAUAUAGCUAUUAAUUAGAGUGAGGCUGAAUAUCUUCUCUUAUUUGCUUGCUAUAUUACAUGUUUAUCAACCAUAAUGGAAUUCCAACAUCUAGAACUUAUAUGUAGCCAUCUUUUGGAUCUACUAAUUGGCAACAUGUUGCCACUUGCAGUUUCAAACUUUGUCCUGCUCUGAAGGAUCCAUAUGAAAUGGAUUCAACUUUUUUUCGGUGUCUUGUUGGAAGUGCUUAUUAUGCACUUUUUCAUUAGUGUAUGCAUAUUAGAAAAGUACUUGUUAUGCUUUAGUUAUGUUGUAAAAUUGUUGAUUAUUCUUCUAUCUAAUUAAAUUUUUUUUUGAACAAUCUAUCUAAUCAAAAUUACACAAGCCUCUAACUACUUGAAGAGAUUUUGCUUCACAUUACUCUAUUUUGCUUUUGUAAGGGCUGCCUGCAUUUAUCAUUGGUUUUGUAUCUGCACUUUCUGCCCUUUCUCUUUAUACAUGUCCUGUUCUCAAGUCCUCAAACUUACCUUCCAAAGCGCUUUGUCUAGUUGCAUAGUUCUUUGACCCUUUUCAAACUGUUUUCUUCUUUUUAAUUAUCUUUUUAUCGUAGUCAUUCAACUGUUUGAUGAUCUUAAAACUUAUUUGAUUUGUUGAGAUGUCAUUACUCUUAUGGUUUAUGUAACCAUGAGCUUAAGUGUGUAUAUAUAUAUAUAUAUAUAUAUAUAUAUAUAUAUAUAAUUGUGUAGGGUUAUAUGGACAUGCAUGAUUACUUGCUUAGGUUGAUUAAAGGAUACAUUAAUCAUUAGCGUGGUCCAUACAUUUGUCCACGAUCAUUUUUUAAAGGCUUAAAUAUACGAAAGUUCCCUGCACUUACGAAUCAUUUGAGUUUUAGUCCCUACACAUUAAAAACAUUUCAUUUUGACCAUGCACUUUCAUUUUACUUUUAAAAUGGUACUUGAGCCUAGUUUUUAGCUGAUGUGACAUGUUUUUUGCACAGGUGACACUGAUGAUUGUGCUUCAAACAUGCUGUCUCAUAAAAACAUUAUGGAAGGAUGAAAAUGCCCUUAAUGACCAUGGGAACAUAUGAAAUUCCAAUCUUUCCCUUCUUCCUUCACCAUCAACCUUCAAACCCAGGUCAAAACUUCCAUCUUCAUCCUUUCUUUAUCAAACCUAAUAGCUCAUACACUAGCAUUAGAAAUCUUGAAAAUUCCAAAUUCCACUCUAAAAUAAGUAACAUAAGCUAAAAGCAAAAUAAAUUUUUUGUUAUGCUUAUGCAUCAUGAUUAUAAAUGAACAGAGAGAAAGUAAUGACCUCAUAGUCAUUUUUGUGAGCACCGGGAAUCUCAAGAGCUUCAACAUCGAAAGAAUCGAUUUGAGGACCAGUGCGAAUGAGUUUUUGUUCAGCGUUAUCUUCAACUUCGGAAUCAGGUACAAUGGCGCGUCCUCUGGAUCUCAAAUCGGCGUGCUAUUCCUCUAUAUCGGGCACGUCCUCAUCUUCAUCCGCUUGGAAAACCCAUCGAUGAGUCCAUCGAGAAUCUGCCAUUGAUUUCGCAAGUGUAGAGAUCCUUUUGCAUAUAUAACUAUAUAAGGCUUUUUGAAAUAACUGAUUUCGACAAUGCAAUAUUGGGAUCCACCCUUGAGUCAAAUGUGACUGAUAGCCUCAUUGAAUUCAGCUGUAAAUUUGAAAUACUUGAGUUGGAGGAUUUUUGCUAAUUAGCACCAAGUCACCGUAGAUAAUAGCAAAUAAACAUGUCAAGUUAAAAAUUUGUUUUUUAUUUUUACCAUGAAAAUAACUGAGAUAAGGUUUAUUUUACUAUUUUUAUUUAUCAGAUUUUUAAAAUUUUGUUUUUUACUUUUACAAAUUUGUUUAUAACAAAUUAAUUAAGAGUCUAUAUUAGUGUUCCAAUCAUCGACUCAAUCAACUUAUUCUUGAAUCAUAAAAAAAGAAAAUUACCUAUGGUCAAGCUCGGGUUAGUAUUCUCUAACUUUUUGGAGGGAAAGUCACAUAUCACUUUGGCUCUACGCCUCUACCUCUCUCCUCUUUUACACUUUCUCUUUCUUUUUUUGUCUAAAGUCACACCAAAGUUAUGAGAGGCAAAGUUAGAGAAUAUUUUUCCAGCAUUCUCUAACUUUCACAUAACCAUCUAUAUUACAACUUGAUUAGUAAUUAUUCAAAUUAAUCGCAGUGAGAACGAGUUAAGCAUCAUGGAUUGGUCAAAGAUGGAGAAAUCUUUUAAUUGGUCCAAAUUAAAACAAACCUUUCUCCAAAUUUAAAGCUAAAAAUUAAGCAAAAUCAAUCGUUAGUUGGUUCAGUGGUGAUUGUCGUUGAAUUUGGUAGGGAGGACCACAGUUCGAUCCCCGCAACUGCAAUCGAGAGGGAGCUAGAACUACCUGAUGCUAGAAUUGACCCCCGAACCAGACUAAACUAACGGUAAAAGAGGAAAAAAAAACGCCUAAAAAUUAAGCAAUGAUGUCGGAAGAACAAGUACUUUUAUUCUCUUUCAAACUCACUUUGCGAAAAAGAAUCAAAGAUGGAUGGUGUACAGUGUACUGUCUACCACAAAAAAUAAAAAGAUGGAUGGAUGGUGUCUGUUAAAAUAAAAUCAAUUUUUAUCCCGCCUUAAAAUUACUUAUUUUUUAACUAGAGACAAAACAGAUUCAAUAUUGAUAUGUUUUGCAAAUAAAGCAUAAUACAUUUUAUCACAUCAUAUUUAAUUACACUAUUGCAAACAGAUUCAAUAUUGAUAUGUUUUGCAAUCACAUACUGUAUAAUUAUUGCUAUACUUUGUCUAAAGCUCUCAAAUUAUUAGAACACGUAAUCAGGUGCCAAACCAUAUGAUGCUUAACUGGUUCUCACUGUGAUUGAUUUGAUUUGACCACACUAACCCUUCCACUUUGUUCUCUCUGUGCGUGCUAGCUGUAACUGCAUUAUUCUCAGAUUUCUAUGGCUGAAAAUGCAAAGCGUCUCAUCAUCGGAAUCGACCUUGGCACCACCUAUUCUUGCGUCGGAGUCUGGCACCACGGCGGUGUCCAAAUCAUCACCAACGACCACGGCAACCGGACUACCCCUUCUUACGUUGCUUUCACCGACUCCGAACGCUUAAUUGGCGAUGCUGCCAAGAGCCAGGUCACCAGGAACCCCGUCAAUACAGUCUUCGGUAUACCAUCUAUUCAACUUUUCUUUACCUUCACAUUUUGGCUGUUCUGUUUAAAUCUAUGCAGUAGCUGUGUGGAGUGUUGGAGACAUUUGCUCUGUUGAUUUCGAUACACUUAUUGCUUAAUUAAUUGAAUUGAAUUGAAUUGAUUUGUGCUUAAUUAUUAUAGAUGCCAAGCGUUUGAUUGGAAGGAGAUUCUCUGAUGCUUCCGUUCAGAGUGACAUGAAGCUAUGGCCAUUCAAGGUUAUUGCUGGUGGUACUGGAGACAAGCCAAUGAUUGUUGUUAACUACAAGAAUGAGGAGAAGCAACUCACUGCUGAGGAGAUUUCCUCCAUGGUCCUCCUCAAGAUGCGUGAGAUCGCCGAGGAUUUUCUUGGUUCCACCGUGAAGGACGUUGUUGUCACUGUUCCAGCAUACUUCAAUGACUCUCAGCGCCAGGCCACCAAGGAUGCUGGUGUCAUUGCUGGCCUUAAUGUCAUGCGUAUCAUCAACGAACCCACUGCUGCUGCCCUUGCCUAUGGCCUUGAUAUGGAGCCUGUCGUUGACGAUGAGGAUGAAAUGAACGUUUUGAUUUUUGACCUUGGUGGUGGUACUUUUGAUGUAUCUCUUCUAUCCAUUGUAGACAGUGUCGUUGAAGUUCUUGCCACUACAGGAGACAGCCAUCUUGGAGGUGAAGACUUCGAUAACAGGAUGGUUGAGAAUUUUGUUGAGGAAUUCAAGAGGAAGCAUGAGAAGGAAAUUAGUGGGAACCCGAGGGCUUUAAGAAAGUUGAGGACCGCAUGUGAAAGGGCAAAGAGGAUACUCUCAUCCACUGUACAGACCACCAUUGAGAUUGACUCAUUGUAUGAAGGUAUUGACUUCUAUACCACAAUCACUCGUGACAGGUUUGAAGAACUCAACAUGGACCUCUUCAGCAACUGCAUGGACACUGUUGAGCGGUGUUUGAGGGACGCUAAAAUGGACAAGAGCAGUGUACAUGAUAUUGUUCUUGUUGGUGGGUCAACUAGGAUCCCAAAAGUGCAACAGUUGUUGAAGGAUUUAUUCAAUGGGAAGGAACUCUGCAAGAGCAUCAACCCCGAUGAGGCUGUUGCUUAUGGAGCUGCUCUCCAGGCUGCUAUCUUGAACGAUGUGGAGAACAAGAAGGUUCAGGAGCUUACGUUGGUGGAUGUCACUGCCCUUUCACUUGGUGUGGAAACUGUUGGUGGUGUCAUGACUGUCCUGAUUCCAAAGAACCGUCCAAUCCCGUACAAGAAGGAGCAGGUUUUCUCAACCUACUCCGACAACCAGCUUAGUGUGUUGAUCAGGGUCUACGAGGGUGAGAGAACCAGUACCAGGGACAACAACUUGCUUGGUAAAUUCGAGCUUUCUGGCAUCCUUCCUGCUCCAAGGGGUGUUCCUCAGAUCAAUGUUUGCUUUCAAAUUGAUCACAAUGGUAUCAUGAAUGUCUCUGCUGAAGACCAGACUACUGGGAAGAAAAACAAUAUCACUAUUACAAAUGGCGAGGGCAGGCUCUCAAAGGAGGAGAUUGAGAAGAUGGUGCAGGAGGCGGAGAAGUACAAGGCUGAGGAUGAGGAGUACAAGAAGAACGUAAAGGCCAAGAUUGCCUUGGAACUAGCGGUGGAGAGGCACAGUUUUACAAAAGAUGCUCCAGAUCAACACUCGGAGGCGGAGAAGUACGAUUCUACAAAAGAUUCUCCAUACCUACGCUUGGAGGGGCAUGUGGUACAUGAUACUCGCCAUCAGGUUACAUUACCAACCCCAAGUUUACACCCCUUCCCUUCGGGAAACUUUGGGUAUUAUUUUAACUCUACAAAAAAGGCUUCACAGAAAAUUAUAGAGGCACUAAAAGAUGAUAAAUUCUAUGUAAUUGGAUUGCAUGGAAAGAAGGGUUCUGGUAAAACAUCAUUAGUGAAAGCUGAGAUGAAUGAGUAUGAAAAGAUUUUUCAUAGAGUUAUAUUUCCCACAGUUUCCAAUAACCAAGAUGCCAAGAGCAUUCAGGAGGGAAUUGCUAGCUCGCUGAAUGUGCAUUUUGAAAGAGAUGACAGUGAUGGCUUGAGAGCAAUGAAAAUAAUUAUGGCAUUAGAAAGGAAGGAUAGAACUAUUCUGGUCAUUUUGGAUAAUUUUCCGACAAAGUCUCAACCGCAGGAAUUAGGUAUUCCUUUUAGUAGCAGACAAUGCAAGGUUCUUUUAACCACACGUGACGAGGCAGACUGUGUCUUGAUGAGAUGUGACCAUUCUAUUUCUCUGGAUCCCUUAUCUAGUGAGGAAGCUUUGACACUGCUACAAAAACUUUCUGGUGUUAACUCUCAAUCUGCUCUAUUUGAAGUGGCACAGGAAGUUGCUUCUAAAUGCAAUGGCUUACCUGGAUUGAUUGAAAAGGUGGCGACUUCCUUGAAAAAUAAAUCCUUGGAAAAUUGGAAACAAUCAUUAGUCAGUCUAAGCCACUCAACUGCCCGCUACCAGAUUUUUAUCAGUUUUAGAGGAGGCGAUACUAGACAUGUUUUUACAAACCACCUCCAUUAUGCUUUGUGCCAGAAGGGGUUCAUGACCUUCAAAGAUGAUGAAUCAUUGGAGGGUGGGGUCCCAAUUGAGAAACUUCUUGACGACAUUGAAGAAUCGAGAUUUGCAAUUGUUAUUUUAUCCAAAAAUUAUGCAGACUCUGAAUGGUGUCUCAAAGAACUGGUCAAAAUUCUUGAGUGCAAGGAUAAGGAAAGUAGGAACCAACUUGUUUUGCCAAUCUUCUAUGAAGUACCGCCCACAGACGUAAGGCAUGUACGAAAUAGUUAUGCUGAUGCCAUGGCCAAACAUGUAAACAAUGGAAAAGAUUCAUAUAUAGUUCUAACAUGGAAGAAGGCUUUAUAUGAUAUUUGUACGCUGACGGGAUUUGAAAAGCCUCAUGACUGGUAAGUAGUUUACUUAUUUACUAUUAGUUAGACUUUAUGUGUUUCUGUAAUUACACUAAAUUUAUUGUAAAAUUCUGUCAAUUAAUACAUUAAUCCACUAAAAUCUUUUACCCAAAUACAUCCUUCUUAGUUAAAUUUCAUAAAUGGUGACUCAUCUACUAGUACAACCUCUUAAUAAUUUGAUAUGUUACCUCAUUUUUUAUAUUUUAAUUAUCUUAUUAAAUGUGAUUUUGUUAACAAAAAAUAAAACAAAAAUACUUCUUGCUUCAAUGUACUUUAAGUAUCUUGUGUGAUAUCAUAUAUUUUUUGUAAAGAAUAUUCAAUCAAGGUUAGUUUUAUAUAAGUUUUAUGAAAUGGAUUGCUAGUGAAAGAAAAUGAAAUUUGAACACAUCAUGAAUUGAAAUUAUUUUUUUAUAUGCUUUGUCAGGACCAGAGAUCAAUUUAUUGAUAAGAUUGUCAAUUUUGCCUGCGAUCACAGACAUCGCUUGCAUAUACAAAGCAUGUAUAUGAACUAGAAGAGAAAUUUCAGCUUCUCUUGCAAUGAGUGCAACACAAGACAAAACAGGUUACAAAUGGUUACCUGCUCAAAAAUGGACUAUUGUGGUUGUAAUUUAUUUUGGACACAGUUCUUGGGAGAUUUUCACAAAGCAUCUGUAUGAUCCUUUGUGUAAGGAGGGAAUUCAUACCUUCUAAGAUGAUCAAUCAUUGGAGGAGAGGCCCCAAUUGAGGAACUUCUUGGAGCCAUUAAAGAAUUAAUGUUGGUGGACCACUACACUGUUUUUGGAUGAUGGAUUUAAUGGAAGGAAUGUUGUUGUCUGAAGAUGCUCCCAUGAAUUUGGUAGAUGAGUAGUGUGGUAGUGUUCCCAAUUGAUGACGGCAGUGGCGGUCGCAUUCUCGUACUCUGCCUGCACCUCUCUUUUGCUCACUCGUUCCUCUCUCUCACUUCAUCUUCUUCCAUCUCUUAAGGUGAAAUUUCAAAUACGGUUUUAUAGUUUUCGAUUUCAAAUUGGUGAAUUUGAUUCCCUGUUAUCAUGUUUUGUGGAUCUGGAUCUCAUUUAUGAUACUUACUCUGCAUUUGAACUGACUAAUUCCUUUCUCUAGUGUUUCCUUUCUCAAUGAUUUUUGUUAUCUGCUUCUUUGCCUAAUCAACUCAAUAUGCUGUGGCUGUGAAAUUUGUCAAUUUUAUGUGAUUAAUUGUAAUUCAUUAGUCAGAUAUAUAGGAAUCUUAGUACAUUUCCAUUAUGGUACUCAACCAAGAGAGCUUCAGCAUACAUUAUUGUUAUGUCUUCUUACUCAGCAUAUGGUACUAUUUUUUGUUUUGUUUUUGCAACUUGCUAGUAGCUUUUACAUACAUGAAGUGCGAUAUCUGUUAACUGAUGUUUAAUCAGUUUCUUGAUUUUGUUAGAUAGCUAACAUAUGGUGGUUAUGUCACAGUUAUGUUAUUCAUAUAUGUUAACUGAUGAAGUCAACAACACCCCACAUGUUAUGCAAUACUCACUGCUUCUGGUGGAUUUGGUGUCUUGUUGAGCAGCUGAAGAUUUCUUUCCUCCCCUGGUAAUUAUGAAUGCAUUUCUUUUCUCUUGGAGAUAUAGGUUAUUUAAUAUGCACAGAAGAAGGGUGAAAGCUAUAUUGUCCAGUGAAGUUUCCACAUCCAUUCAUGUGACGCCGUGGUUAAUUCUGAUGGAGUUGACUCCCGAACAACAAAGGAGGAAAGAAGAACAUCUGAUGAGAUCGCCGCCCUAGUUAUCCUCGAUAAUCUCAAAGCUUUAGUUCUAGACUCAUACAACAGAUUCCCCAUUGAUAAGCUUCUUGAAGCCAUUGAAGAGUCAAGGUUUGUAAUUGUUGUUUUGUCAGAAAAUUUUGCAGACUCUAAAUGGUGUCUUAAAGAACUUGUCAAGAUUCUUGAUUGUCGAAAAACGAAGAAACAAUUGGUUUUGCCAAUUUUUUAUGAAGUGGAACCAACCGACACAAGGCAUCUACAAGGGAGGUAUGGUGAAGCUAUGGCCGAACAUGAAAAAAAGUUAGCCAAAGAUUCUAAGAGGGUAUUGGAAUGGACAUUAGCUUUGAGUGAUAUUUCCCAACUGAAAGGAGAACAUUUCCGCAUUUCCAACUUCAAAGGAGAGCAUUACAAAAGGUACGUAUGUUGGCAAUUAAAUCGAAUUUUAUGUUUUUUACAAAUAUUUAAAGAUGGUGUUGGGCCGGCUGAAGAUGAAGAGUUUGACUAGCUCACAGCUUGUACACACUUUUAUUAUUAAUAUAAGUGUUGACUUUUAAAAGAAGUAAAAAAAACCUUUUAAUGAGUAAUCUAUAUCUAAAACAUAAAUGAUAAGGUGUUGUAUAUACUUUUUUACAGGUACAGAGAUCAACUUAUUGGAAAGAUCAUAAGAUUUGCCCAUAAUAACAAACAUCGCUUGCAUAUACAAAGCAUGUAUAUGAACUAGAUGAAAGACUUCUGCCAAUAUUAUAUUUGGAGCUGUUGUUGAUGAUCGUUACACCGGAGAGAUUCAUGUGACUAUCAUUGCCACUGGCUUUUCACAAUUUUUUCAGAAGAAGCUGCUAACAGAUCCAAUGGCUGCAAAACUUCUUGACAAAGUGGCCGAGGGAAAAGAAAGUAAGACAGUGCCUUCUCCCCUCAAAUCCUCAAACUUAUGUUCCAAAGUUUAAUCUAGAGCAACAACACCCUCACGAAACCUCUUUUUUAGUUGCAUAGUUCGAUUUUUUUUUCUUGUUAGUUAUCAUUUUAUUGUAGUCACUCAGUUGUUUGAUGGUCUUGAAGCUUAUUUGCUUUGAGAUGUCAUUAUUCAUAUGGUUUAUGUAACCAUGCGCUUAAGUGUGUGUAGCUCACAAACAGUUUUUGUUUGUGAAAUGGAUAUAUAUGUUGAUUAUUCUUCUAUCUAAUCAAAAUUCCACAAUGCCUCUAACUACUUGAAGAGGUUGUGCUUCAUAUUACUCUAUUUUGCUUUUGUAAGGCUACCUGAAGUUAUCAUUGGUUUUGUUUCUGCACUUUCUGCCCUUUCUCUUUAUACAUGUCCUGUUCUCAAGUCCUCAAACUUACCUUCCAAAGUUGAAUCUAGUUGCAUAGUUCUUUGUCUAGUUGCAUAGUUCUUUGACCCUUUUCAAUAGUCAUUCAACUGUUUGAUGAUCUUAUAAACUUAUUUAAUUUGUUGAGAUGUCAUUACUCAUAUGGUUUAUGUAAUCAUGAGCUUAAGUGUAUUCACAAUAUAUAUAAUGUGUAGGGUUAUAUGGAUAUGCAUGAUUACUUGCUUUGUUUGAAUAAAGGAUACAUUAAUCAUUAUUGUGGUCCAUACAUUAGUACAUGAUCAUUCUUAUUCUUUCUAUAAUGGCAAAUAAACAUCUUCUGAUUGUGCAGUGCCUUUUCUCCAAAUUUAAAGCUACAAAUUAAGCAAUGAUAUCAGAAACAAGUAUUUUAUUUUCUUUCAAACUCACUUAAUUUAUUCCGACUCAUUUCCUACAAGUUGGAAAUUUUAAAACAGAACAAAUGUAAGUCUCUCAAAAAUUCACAAUUAUAUCCCUUAACAAGCAUUCCCUUCUUAGUUUCUUCAUUUCCAACAGAGAUCUGUCUUGGUUCCAAGCUGAGGUGUUUCCAUGCAUAAUAUUUUUAUGAGUGAAGACCGUUCUUCACAAAUUUUUAACUGGAUAACUUAGUCCCUUCCCUUGACAAAAAUAAAAUCUAAAUUAGUCCUUUAACAUUUUCAUACUUUGGGCAAACUAAGCCCCAAUUCGUUAUAACAGAGGGACUAAUUUAUCCCCGGUAUGAAAAUAUCAGCGACUAAUUUGGUUUUUAUUUUUGUUAGGAAAUAAAUUGUUCCGUCAGAAAUUUGUGAGGACCAAUCUACUUCUAAUAUAAUAAAUUUGAUUACCACCAAGUAUACUAAUUUGUCCUUACCAAUUUUAAUAAUAUUUCAAAUUUUGUAUGAUACGUUGUAAAUUUACUCUAUUUUCUUCGAAGGGUUUGUCUAAUAUGUGUAAUAUUGCACAUGUUAAAACAACCAAAAAUUUAUCGGUUAUUCAAUAAAUCUGAAUAAUUGACUUUUACUAAUAAUUAAGGAGGUAAGGAGUAUCAAAUAAAAGUCAAGAGUAGGCAUGACAAUAUAACUCAUAUUCGCGGGUACUCACUCACCUCGUCCCAAUUUUGCCAGGAAAAAACCGAAUUGACUGGGUUUGUGAAAACCCAAAUUUAAUGGGUUUGGAAUUAGGAGUAGCAAAAUCUGUCUCCGACCCACCUCUUUGCCAAUUUGCCAUGCCUAGUCAAGAGAAAUACUCGAACUGUAGCUCUCAAAUCUGAGUAAUUAUAGUUGGCCUUAACCAAAAGAAAAGCUAAAUUAUUAGAACCAAAUGUCAACUAAAGUAACGUAUUGCAUUUUCUUCUAUGAACAUUUGAGCGGUGACAGAUGUAUCCAACGGUUUAGAUAGUCGCAGGAAACUGUGGCGGGAGAGGACUCAGACCCCACAGUAAUUAAGAUUUAAAUUUAAACUCUAAACACUCAGAUUGAUUUUGAUGUUGAUUUGACCACACUAACUAACCCUUCCUCUUCGUUCUUCUCACUGUGAAACCUUGACCACCAUUCUUAGACUUCUAUGGCCGAAAAUGCAAAGCGUUUCAUCAUUGGAAUCGACCUCGGCACCACCUACUCUUGCGUCGGAGUCUGGCAUCACGACACUGUCCAAAUCAUCACCAACGACCACGGCAACCGGACCACCCCUUCUUACGUCGCUUUCACUGACUCCGAACGCUUAAUUGGUGAUGCUGCCAAGAUCCAGGUCACCAGGAACCCCGUCAACACCGUCUUCGGUAUACCAUUUAUUCAACUUCUCGGCUGUUCUGUUUGAAUCUAUGCAG
rnacentral:lncRNA from 1 species